UCUGAAAAUGAUGAGAAGAUCGUGACGUAUGACACAUUGGGCCCAACGUCUGCAUGGGAGAUCACAAGCCGGUGUUCCUGUCCUUUCGCAUCGCUCCCGGGGCAGGUAAACCCAGUGCACAUAUGCACAAGUGUUGUGUCGUGCAGUGACGUGUUGGGAGAAGAUGCCAGCAGACAGAGAAGAUCUUUCGGGAGACUGCCUUGUA